UACGGAGGGGGUUAGCGUUGUUCGGAAUGACUGGGCGUAAAGCGCGCGUAGGCGGAUCGGAAAGUUGGGGGUGAAAUCCCGGGGCUCAACCCCGGAAUGGCCUUCAAAACUCCCGGUCUUGAGUUCGAGAGAGGUGAGUGGAAUUCCGAGUGUAGAGGUGAAAUUCGUAGAUAUUCGGAGGAACACCAGUGGCGAAGGCGGCUCACUGGCUCGAUACUGACGCUGAGGUGCGAAAGCGUGGGGAGCAAACAGG
rnacentral:rRNA from 2 species